rfam:TPA: Bos taurus chromosome 14, whole genome shotgun sequence.
UCCCCAGUGGUCCAGUGGUUAAGACUCUGCAUUUCCAAUGCAGGGGUUACAUGUUCGAUCCCUGGUUGGGGAG